rnacentral:lncRNA from 1 species
GGGUUUAUCCUGAGUAAGUGUCUGUGUCUGCCUUUCUCACUGCUUCACACACUUUCUGACCCUGUUUCCCCUCCUCCUCCCUCCACACCACCCCCCUCUCUCCCUCCACAGUUAUUUGGCCGGCUUCUUGUUUACCUAGAUCAAACUUGUCAGGGAAAGCCGAGUGAGUUUAAACAAACACACGCGCACAAACACAUGCACGUAAGGACACACACCGAUCGAAAUUAGCUGGCAUGGAGCUAACACAAAUCUAAAGACAUCACUGCUUGAAAAACCAUCUGCACUAGUAUCUGAUUCUCGUCUGCUACACCAGAGAUUAUUGCUGUAAUUUAUGCUGACAUAAAUAAAUCAUUUGAAUCUGCAUCUCAGUGAGUGUGUAUGUCUGCGCACACAUGGGAGAUGAGCUGCAGCAAGCAAGGCAGAGAGGCUGUAAGGGAGUAAUAGUGAAAUGAGAGACAGACAGUAUUUCAUUUUAUUAUUAUUAUUAUUAGGGACUCUAAUGGUCAGAUUUGGUUUCUCAUGAGCUUUUCUCAGCCUCCAACGCUUAGUGGGAGCAAGAAGCUCUCAGAAAUGAGAAGGGAGGGAUAGAGGGUAAGAGAGGAUAAGAGAGGAGAGGGAGGGGGGAUACCAGGACAUCUCCUUCCAACUUAUCUGGUUGGUAGCCAGUCUGUAUCUCCCCAGGGCUGCACACACUGUCUGUCUGACCUCAACUGAACUCAGCUGUAACAGUAGUCCCACCGCUGAUGAUGUGGAGCUGAAAAGAUAGGAGGCUUGAAGAGAUCUACAGAGAGAGACGGAUGGGGGUGAGGAGGAGGAGAAGGAAGAAAAAAAGAGCUCCCUGCAUGUUCUGCAUGUUCCUCCGUGAUGAGGCAAAACCCUAGACAACCCCACCAUUCAAUUAGUGUAAAGAAAUGGGGUUAUACUGGAACAGCUCAAAGCGCCAAACUCAGAAAACAAAUCAAAGCUGGGUGAUGAAAGUAAAACUAAAUUUACAUCAGAAUCAGUUUCAUGAAAUGCUUGAGUCACGUUUCCAGCAAUUAUGAUUUUACUUAUAGAUUUUUUUUUUAAGAUCAAAUGCUAAAAAUGACAUAGUCUGUAACAUUUUGGUCAUUAAAACCUCUUCACAAAAAAAAAAAAAAAAGAAAACUGUUGUUUUGGGAGCUGUUGAAAUAUGUAUUUCCUUGCUGACAUUAAGAUUUGGGAAUGUAGCAAUACCUCACAAGAUACUUGAAGAUUGGUAAACACAGAGGACAAUUUAAAUCAGUGAAGUGAAAAAUAAAUUGCAAAACUCUCUUUUUUACAGCAGAGGGCACUUUAUGCCUCUGACUGCUUUUAGUCAAAGUCAUUAUGUCUCUAACACUUGCAGCUGAAGAGAAGCACACUAACAUGGUGGCAGAAGGUGAAGAUUUAACAGCUGAGUCAUGUAUUUUCCACAAAUAGACAAUAUUUGUUGGCCUUCCAAGGUACCAUAUAAACCCAAACAUAAAUACACAAAAUACAUCUGAAAAAGUGUGAUCAUCUUUUAUUUGCGUGGUCUCAUAUUUAGCAGUCCAAUGCCAAUAUUUAGUAUCAUAGAUGGCGCCAUUUAUCUGUAGAGCCAGCAUGUCCCUCAUAACUGAGGCAGGCAGGAAAUAAAGAUGAAGAGACACAGAGGUCAGAGCAGAGAAGCUCAGAAGUAGGGCAAGUUAUCAAUAACUGAGGGGAAGUUUUGAGACAUGAAAUUACUGUCAAAAAAACAAACUUCCAUCCAGAAGACGACAGGUUCUUAAUUUAUCAUGGUACUGAAAUACAACAGCACAUUUAUGGUGUUUAUGAAAUGGACUGAGAUUCAUAUUGAUGCCUUUUCAUGGUAUCCAAAAGCAAACAAGACCAGCAGGGACAAGACAAACAACUAGUAUAAUGUCAUUUUUAGUACCUGAAACAGGGUUGUCCCGAUACAAUUUUUUGCCGAUAUGAUACCGAUAUUGUAGCCUUCAGUCUUGUCCGAUACCGAUAUUGAUCUGAUAUUAGCAUAAACUUGUGCAUGAUAAGUUUUGCAGUCAGCUGCAGAGUCUUUUUCAGACUUUAGGGAAAAAUACUGCCACAGGGUCAACAUCACUCCUACUCCUUGGUACUUUGUUAGUAUCUUAGUACACACUGUUGUUGUGAUCACAUGGGCUCUACAUGCUGAAUCUGGGUGCAGCGAGAUAGAGGUGCUGGAGCGGAGUCUGGAAUGGACUGCUUGUAUUGGAGUGCUGAUAUCGGAGAUUUUAAAUGCAGGCCGAUAUAACCUGAUGUAAUUUUUUUUGUUGAUAUCGUACCGAUAUCCGAUAUCAAUAUCAUAUCAGGACACCCAUAACCUGAAACCAGUGAAAGGGGGUAGGUGUCAGUCAAGCGGCCCUGUUUUUACAGCUUCCUUGUGAAACAUUCCCAAUGAAAGAGGCGUAUAAUUGUCAAAAGGUGAUGGGAUGAGUUUUUUGACAAUAGACAUGACUGAAGCAUGUAGAGAACAAGAAAAGAAAGACUGCUUUGUCAACAAGGGGCGCCAAAAUUGACACAACCUGAAAGCUCCUCACAGAAGCUUUAAAACUCUGUACUUUGGUAUCUUCCCAACCCCAGUGUGCGUCGGUGUUUGUAGGCUACAAAGGAAUGCCAGAAUGCAUUUCUGGCUAUGUACUGAUUAAUUUAGCCCAUCCAUCACCUCCUAGUUUGCUGUUUCUCUGUGAAUGUAUUUAGGGUCUGGUAGACUGAUUUGCUUUUUUGAGUGAUUACAGUACAUCUAUCAUCAGAACCUGAAAUUAGGUAACCCUGGUGUAAGAAACUACUAAAAUAAAAGCAUCAUCAGUGACUGUUUUAUGAAACAAUUUAUACAUUAAAGACUGAACAUAAACUGGGUUGUGUACAUUUGUAAGAAAAUAAAUCAUAAUCAGUUCAAAAUGCCCAUGAGAGAAAAAAAGUAGGAAAAUAGCUCAUAGUUUAAAUGAGUCAAACAAACAGCUGCAGCGGGGAUGUGAGUGAAAUAAACAUUUAGGUUGAUGGAAAAAGUUGAGAUCUACUGUUGAAUGAAAAGCAGGGACAGAUUGUGAUUCGAGGCCAAGGACAGAAAGGGAGGACCAGGAGAAAAGAUAUGAGAAGGAGGGAAACAGCAGUGGCGGAAAAGCAGAGUGGGUGUUCAUGAGCCUAAGACAUAGUGAGGAGAAAGAUGGAGUUGGCACCAGGGAGCAAAGGUAAGAGAAGGCGAGUGAUGAGUUUGUAGGAAGAGUUCAGCAAAGGCCUUGGAUCCAAUCAAAAGACUGUUUUUGAUUCUGUUUUUCCAUUUCACCCAAAAUAAUGUUUCAACAGUCACUUGCUCAUAGCUUAGCACCAACCUUGGUCUUUGAAUGGGUACUCGUUUGGAGGAAAGCACUUCUCUGUGGCCUCAGAUGAACUGUGCAAGCGCUCAAUGCAGCUGCAGCUCAGGGAGCCGAGCAUGGGGGGAUUAGCUAACCUUGUUUCACUCUGGCAACUCAAGAAGAAUUAUACAGACUUAUGUGAUUUAGAGCUACAUACCUGGUUAAUUCUGUAGAUAUUUGACCUCAAAAUGUGUUGAACUGAACCCGUUUAAGUCUUACCAUUUACUAAGGCUGAUUUUGGUUUUUUAAAAUGCUUAUUUUUGGUAAAGCACACUGCCACGGAAAUGUUCAGAGAAGUAUUGGUAACAACCACCCAGCUUCUCAUUCCUGGUUUGUUUAUUUGCCUGUUUCUUCAUGAGAUGGUCUAACAAAGAGAGAUUACACCUGAAAUCCAGCUCAAACCACAGUGAUUCUCAUAAGUUUUAAAACAUUGAAUAGGAUCAAUACAAAGAGUCCGAGCAGGACAACAACAAGAAAAGCAGCGAGCUCUAAAACUGUGUGAGGUCUCAGAGGAAGCUCUGUUUACAAAAAGAGAGCCAGAAUAUCAUGCAAAAACAAGCUGCAUGCACACACAAUACUGUACGGUCACGCUUUAUUAAGAGCACAUGCACAGGUGUCCCACAUGUGCACAGGGUCAAAGUAAACACACAAAGUGGAACAAGCAAUUCCUCAGAGACAAACUUAUUUUGCAGAAGCAGACCAAAAAAAAAAAUUCAACUACAGCAAAGUGUCGAAAUUUCCGACAAACUGGUAAACAAAUGCAACUUUAGCAUAAAUGCAAAGUUUCUCAAAAACCACAAAGUUGUAAAUACACAUGGAGCUUUUAACAAAUGCAUGACACAAACAGCCUGCAUGUAACGUAUCAGGCUUUGCACAAACUCAUACAUAUAUGCAUUAAGGUUCUCACAUGCACACACGUGCAGCACGGCUGUCUGCCUCCCACAUGCAGUGUCUGUGACGCAGAGGAAAAGUCAUUAGACCCGUGCUUCCUCUCCAAACAGAACAGAAAGAAAAGAGCGCCUGACAUGAAACACACAGGAAAUGUGUGGGUGACUGCUUCUGUGCAUGUGUGUCUGCGUUUCUGUAUGUGCACAUGCACACUUCUGGUCUGAAGUUCUGCCCCUAGGACUGGUGACCAAUGCCUUUAAUAGCUUGCCUUUGAUUGCUCCCAUUGUAAAGACUGCAGCUACAAUUACAGUCAUUUUAACACACAGCAAAGAGUCGACUCACUUAGCUGACUAAGUUGACCUCAAUUUCCAGGUUUUUAACUAAAAUCAUAAAAGCUCCCACAGUAAUUAUUAUUAGGUUAAUAUCUAUUUCAGAAUAACACUUACUUAAAACUGCGCCGCAAAGAUGGAUAGUGAAAGAAUAUUGUGAAUCAUACAAAAUUAACCGGAUAGGUUAAUAGCUAGAGCAACAUUCUUGAUUCACCUUAAUAUAAUGACGCAUUAAACAAAGGUAGGCAGGGUUUAGUGUGUAUGCUAGAUCAUAAUGAGAAAGUCGUGUUGAGGAGGCAGCAAGCUAAGAGAAAUUGGCGCCUAAAAUUGGCAGGAGAUUUUUGUAUUUCACAAGUUUCAUUUCUCCUUGCACAAAGGUACAAACAGCCAGAGCUUCUGCUUUUUCAGGGGCCUCAUAGUUCUAAUUGUGUAACUAAUCACUUGACAUAUAGGGCGUGUGUGUGUGUGUUGAUGUGCAUGUGUGCGUCUUCCUACACAGGAGCUUUAAUUUUGCAUAACCACCUUGUGUCUCGCUGACUCUGUGUGGGUGCAUAUCUGCAGCCUUAGUACUGUCUGUCUGUCUCUAUAAGAAUGCAGUCCAUAUAUAUGUGUUGAGUAGGUGUAUGUAUAUGUGUGUGUUUUCCUCUCCAAAUUGGCCCCGAGACAGCUGAAAUAAAUGAUCUAGUGCAGCAGUCAGUCAAAAUAGGUAAGGGAAGGAGUCUAGGAGAGAAGAACAUAAAAAGGGAAACAGGAGCUCACAGGAAAAAACAGAUAGGUAGAAAGGAAAAGAUAGAAGGAGGCAAAGGGUGAAUCCUGGGGUUCGAGCAUCUGCUGAAGCUUCGGGAAACUCAAUCAUUUCAAGGC